AAAGCUUUUGUCCACACUAGGUACAAAUGAUAGGCAAUUGCCUAAGGUUGCCUGGACCCAAAGACCCAGGUGGGUAAAGUUACGGAACUUUUUUAAUUGAGGUCCAAAGUUGGGGUAGGGUGACCCAACCCCCUCCCUUCUUUAAUUCAUAAAAAAGUCCCUACGGCAAAGCUUUUGUCCACACUAGGUACAAAUGAUAGGCAAUUGCCUAAGGUUGCCUGGACCCAAAGACCCAGGUGGGUAAAGUUACGGAACUUUUUUAAUUGAGGUCCAAAGUUGGGGUAGGGUGACCCAACCCCCUCCCUUCUUUAAUUCAUAAAAAAGUCCCUACGGCAAAGCUUUUGUCCACACUAGGUACAAAUGAUAGGCAAUUGCCUAAGGUUGCC